rnacentral:rRNA from 1 species
GAUACGUCUUCAGAGUUUGAUCCUGGCUCAGGAUGAACGCUAGCUACAGGCUUAACACAUGCAAGUCGAGGGGAAACGGCGGAGGAGCUUGCUUCUUCGGACGUCGACCGGCGCACGGGUGAGUAACGCGUAUCCAACCUGCCCCGGUCUGCGGGAUAACCCGUCGAAAGACGGACUAAUACCGCAUGGGGUUCCCUGAGGGCAUCUGACGGGAACUAAAGAUUGAUCGGACCGGGAUGGGGAUGCGUCUGAUUAGCUCGUUGGCGGGGUAACGGCCCACCAAGGCUACGAUCAGUAGGGGUUCUGAGAGGAAGGUCCCCCACAUAGGAACUGAGACACGGUCCUA